rnacentral:rRNA from 1 species
GGUUGAUCCUGCCAGUAGUCAUAUGCUUGUCUCAAAGAUUAAGCCAUGCAUGUCUAAGUAUAAACCAAAUUUAUAGUGAAACUGCGAAUGGCUCAUUAAAUCAGUUAUAAUUUACCUGAUAAUUUUAUACCAGUGGAUAACCGUGGUAAUUCUAUGGCUAAUACAUACAUUAAAGGGCUUUACUAUGUAAAGCCUGUAGUUAUUAGAUAAAAAACCAAUGCAUGCGAAUGCUUUUUUGGUGAUUCAUAGUAAACUUACAGAUCGUUGUCUUUGACGACGCGUCAAUCAAAUUU